UACAGACGGUCCCAAGCGUUGUUCGGAUUCAUUGGGCGUAAAGGGUGUGUAGGUGGCGCGCUAAGUCGGGUGUGAAAUUUCGGAGCUUAACUCCGAAACUGCAUUCGAUACUGGCGUGCUUGAGGACUGGAGAGGAGACUGGAAUUCAUGGUGUAGCAGUGAAAUGCGUAGAGAUCAUGAGGAAGACCAGUGGCGAAGGCGGGUCUCUGGACAGUUCCUGACACUGAGACACGAAGGCCAGGGGAGCAAACGGGG
rnacentral:rRNA from 1 species